rnacentral:rRNA from 1 species
GACGAACGCUGGCGGCGUGCUUAACACAUGCAAGUCGAACGGUGAAGCGCCUUCCUUUUUGGUGGGUGUGGAUGAGUGGCGAACGGGUGAGUAACACGUGAGUAACCUGCCCCCUUCUUCUGGAUAACCGCAUGAAAGUGUGGCUAAUACGGGAUAUUCUGGGUCUGUCGCAUGAUGGGUCUGGGAAAGAUAUUGUUUCGGUGGGGGAUGGGCUCGCGGCCUAUCAGCUUGUUGGUGGGGUGAUGGCCUACCAAGGCGGUGACGGGUAGCCGGCCUGAGAGGGUGGACGGUCACACUGGGACUGAGACACGGCCCGGACUCCUACGGGAGGCAGCAGUGGGGAAUAUUGCACAAUGGGCGCAAGCCUGAUGCAGCGACGCCGCGUGAGGGAUGGAGGCCUUCGGGUUGUGAACCUCUUUCGCCAGUGAAGCAGGCCUGCCUCGUUUGUGGGUGGGUUGACGGUAGCUGGAUAAGAAGCGCCGGCUAACUACGUG